rnacentral:rRNA from 1 species
GACGAACGCUGGCGGCGUGCUUAACACAUGCAAGUCGAACGGAAAGGCCCUUCGGGGUACUCGAGUGGCGAACGGGUGAGUAACACGUGGGUGAUCUGCCCUGCACUUUGGGAUAAGCCUGGGAAACUGGGUCUAAUACCGAAUAGGAUCAUCGGCUUCAUGGUCGGUGGUGGAAAGCUUUUGCGGUGUGGGAUGGGCCCGCGGCCUAUCAGCUUGUUGGUGGGGUAAUGGCCUACCAAGGCGACGACGGGUAGCCGGCCUGAGAGGGUGACCGGCCACACUGGGACUGAGAUACGGCCCAGACUCCUACGGGAGGCAGCAGUGGGGAAUAUUGCACAAUGGGCGCAAGCCUGAUGCAGCGACGCCGCGUGAGGGAUGACGCCCUUCGGGUUGUAAACCUCUCUCAGCAGGGACGAAGCGCAAGUGACGGUACCUGUAGAAGAAGGACCGGCCAACUACGUGCCAGCAGCCGCGGUAA